CAACUUUCAACAACGGAUCUCUUGGCUCUCGCAUCGAUGAAGAACGCAGCGAAAUGCGAUACGUAAUGUGAAUUGCAGAAUUCAGUGAAUCAUCGAAUCUUUGAACGCACCUUGCGCCCCUUGGUAUUCCUAGGGGCACACCCGUUUGAGUGUCGUG
rnacentral:rRNA from 1 species